rnacentral:rRNA from 1 species
CAGGGGUACUCGAGUGGCGAACGGGUGAGUAACACGUGGGUGAUCUGCCCUUCACUUCGGGAUAAGCCUGGGAAACUGGGUCUAAUACCGGAUAGGACCAAUCUUUAGUGUGGUUGGUGGAAAGUUUUGUCGGUGGAGGAUGAGCCCGCGGCCUAUCAGCUUGUUGGUGGGGUAAUGGCCUACCAAGGCGACGACGGGUAGCCGGCCUGAGAGGGUGGACGGCCACAUUGGGACUGAGACACGGCCCAG